UACGGAAGGCAGCAGUGGGGAAUAUUGCACAAUGGGCGAAAGCCUGAUGCAGCUAUGCCGCGUGUAUGAAGAAGGCCUUAGGGUUGUAAAGUACUUUCAUCGGGGAGGAAAAAACAAAACUAAUAAUUUUAUUUCUUGACGUUACCCGAAAAAGAAGCACCGGCUAACUCCGUGCCAGCAGCCGCGGUAAUACGGAGGGUGCCAGCGUUAAUCAGAAUUACUGGGCGUAAAGAGCACGUAGGUGGUUUUUUUAAGUCAGAUGUGAAAUCCCUGGGCUUAACCUAGGAACUGCAUUUUUGAAACUGAAAUACUAGAGUAUCGUAGAGGGAGGUAGAAUUCUAGGUGUAGCGGUGAAAUGCGUAGAUAUCUGGAGGAAUACCUGUGGCGAAAGCGGCCUCCUAAACGAAUACUGACACUGAGGUGCGAAAGCGUGGGGAGCAAACAGGGAUUAGAUACC
rnacentral:rRNA from 1 species